ACGUCGAUGGCUUUUUUGCCUUAUAAUCGUCAUGCCAAUUAGGUUGGUUUUAGAUCGGCAAAAUAGCGGCAGAAAAGACGGUUUCCUGCCAUAGUUUGCCGAUGGUUUGCCAACUUAACCCCAACAUCGGCAGUGCGACGCUUUGCCGAUCAAUUCCUUGCAGUUCCCUUCCGAUGGUUUGCCAAUGGUUUGCCAACCUAACCCCAACCAUCGGCAACGCGACGUUUUGCCGAGCAAUUUCCUAAUGUUUCCUCCCGAUGCUUUGCCAACUUAACACCGACCAUCAACUGACAAUGUCCCAAACACAGUUUGCCGAUGGUUUGCCAACCUAACCCCGACCAUCGGCAACGCGACGCUUUGCAGAUCAUUUGAAGACCCCAAAACCAAAAGCCAGCGCCUGCUUGCUUGCAACCUGAGCAGCGCGAGUUCUGUUUGAAAUUAUUUCAGUUGUCAAGGGAACGAACAUUUUCUGUUUACUUUACUGGACGUCGCAGCAGUAGCCACCUCAAUCGUUUUUAGUUAGACGGCAUUACCAUUAUUUCUGUUGAAAUGUAGGUUUCAGCAUUACAAGUCAGGCGUGAUUAAACAUUUAUUUAGGUUGCUGAAAUAAAUCUCUUUGUCAUGCUGUGUCGAAGGACCUCAUCGAGUUUCUAAUCGAUAUCCCACCUCACUUUUCCUUACCGUUAGCAAGUUAGCUAACGUGUCAAACAUACCCAGCAACCAGGCAUACUGCUCCCGUAAUCAAGUUUCCUGCUGGAGUGGGGCUGUUGAUUCUUGUAGCCCAUGAUGACUGAUUGAAAGGACAUUAGGCCUACAGACUACGUCAAUUCACCACAAGUCAAUAUCAGAUCAACAGACAGGGACAUCAACCUUCUCUUGGGAAUAUGCCAGAUAUGCCAUAACAAGAAAAAAUGGUGUUUUGCCCCUGCAGUUGUGAAGAGGAUGCUGUGGAGGUGGCAGCAUGAACGUGUCACACAGACAUUAGCUAAACUACUCGGCUUCUACACUUGCCCUCAGAGUUCACAUAUGGUUAAGUGCACAGGUGUCCAUCCAGGUUCAGACUGAUGCUGGUAACAAGAGGAAAACAUGCUGAUUGGUAAGUGAGAUCCCUGCUCAACAAAAAUCCACACAGCACAACAAGUAAGCCUAGUUUGUGGUAUCAAAUGUAAAAUGUAAGUUUCAUCAAAAAGUUGUAGAACACAUCUGAAUAAAUUGCAGGCCAUCAAAGUAGUGAAUGGGCAGGGAAAACACAACCAGUAGGCUUAUGAAUUACUUUGACACAGCACAGCACAGCAGAUGCGAUGCUACCAUUCCUUGGGAAUAUGACACAGAGGUCUGCUAUUCCAUUGUAAAUAUUGACUGGAAAUGUUCAUGUUUCAACUGUUUAAAAACAUUGGACUCAGGGGAAAAAAUCUCUAGGUGUAUAUAAGUGAAAGCCCACCUUUGCCAUUGUGACACAGCACACAAGUAUACGCUGCACACAACGAAAUUGCAUUUUAUGCCUCAUCUGUGCAAGGGUGUAGCCUACAUUGGCAUCCCAAGGGAGCAGUAUGUUGCAGUGUGGCAGGAAGGUACCAUGCUUGGGGUACCUCAGUCAUGGAGGAUGGAGGAGAGAGCACUGGUUAAUUACUCCCUCCACCAACCUGGCGGGCUGGGAGAUGAACCAGCAACCUUUGGGUUGUUCAGCCCUGGGCUACAGGACACCCUAACCGCUUACCAAUGACUGCCCCACUUAUCCAUGACUGUAUAAGAAAUACCACAGAGUAGCGAGUACACUUUUAAAUUAAAAGGGUCACUAUAGAUGAUAGACUUUUCAUCCACAGGCAGGACUUAGGCUACAUACAGUAGAUGGUGAAAUCCUGCUUACAAAAACUGUUCUCAAUAAAUAGUUGUAAACUUUUGACAUGUCAAAGUCAUAGCCUAAACUGUAGGGUAUGUUCUCAUGUAAAGGGUGAUUUUCACAUCCAGCCCAUGUUCACAGAUUUUUUUUUCUCCUGCAGGAAUGAUUCAACGAUGGACACUUUGCUUAAUUGUGGAAAAAAAUAAAUGGAAAAACGUC